rnacentral:rRNA from 1 species
UACGUAGGGUGCGAGCGUUAAUCGGAAUUACUGGGCGUAAAGCGUGCGCAGGUGGUUUCGUAAGUCAGAUGUGAAAUCCCCGGGCUCAACCUGGGAAUGGCAUUUGAGACUGCGAAGCUAGAGUACGGCAGAGGGAGGUGGAAUUCCACGUGUAGCAGUGAAAUGCGUAGAUAUGUGGAGGAACACCGAUGGCGAAGGCAGCCUCCUGGGCCAGUACUGACGCUCAUGCACGAAAGCGUGGGGAGCAAACAGG